GUCUUGUAAACCAGUAAUGAAAAAANNCCUUUUUCUCAGGACA
rnacentral:tRNA from 1 species